AGUGAACGCUGGCGGUAGGCCUAACACAUGCAAGUCGAACGGCAGCACAGGAGAGCUUGCUCUCUGGGUGGCGAGUGGCGGACGGGUGAGGAAUACAUCGGAAUCUACUUUUUCGUGGGGGAUAACGUAGGGAAACUUACGCUAAUACCGCAUACGACCUACGGGUGAAAGCAGGGGACCUUCGGGCCUUGCGCGAUUGAAUGAGCCGAUGUCGGAUUAGCUAGUUGGCGGGGUAAAGGCCCACCAAGGCGACGAUCCGUAGCGGGUCUGAGAGGAAGAUCAGCCACAGUGGAACUGAAACACGGUCCAGGCUCCUAAGGGAGGCAGCAGUGGGGAAUAUUGGACAAUAGGCGCAAGCCUGAUCCAGCCAUACCGCGUGGGUGAAGAAGGCCUUCGGGUUGUAAAGCCCUUUUGUUGGGAAAGAAAUCCAGCUGGCUAAUACCCGGUUGGGAUGACGGUACCCAAAGAAUAAGCACCGGCUAACUUCGUGCCAGCAGCCGCCGUAA
rnacentral:rRNA from 1 species